rnacentral:misc_RNA from 1 species
GAUGAAGAACGCAGCGAAAUGCGAUAAGUAAUGUGAAUUGCAGAAUUCAGUGAAUCAUCGAAUCUUUGAACGCACAUUGCGCCCGCCAGCAUUCUGGCGGGCAUGCCUGUUCGAGCGUCAUUUCAACCCUCGAGCCCCCCCGGGGGCCUCGGUGUUGGGGGACGGCACACCAGCCGCCCCCGAAAUGCAGUGGCGACCCCGCCGCAGCCUCCCCUGCGUAGUAGCACACACCUCGCACCGGAGCGCGGAGGCGGUCACGCCGUAAAACGCCCAACUUUCUUAGAGUUGACCUCGGAUCAGGUAGGAAUACCCGCUGAACUUAAGCAUAUCAAUAUGCGGAGGA